GAUCCGUAGGUGAACCUGCGGAGGGAUCAUUACAGAGUUCUCGCCCUCGCGGGUAGAUCUCCCACCCACUGUUAUCGUUACUGUGUUGCUAUGGCAGGCCGCCGGGCCCCGCUCGGCCGCCGGCUCCUGCUGGCGCGCGCCCGCCAGAGGCCCAGCAAACUCUGAAUGUUAGUGUCGUCUGAGUACUAUAUAAUAGUUAAAACUUUCAACAACGGAUCUCUUGGUUCUG
rnacentral:misc_RNA from 1 species